rnacentral:misc_RNA from 1 species
UCAGUUUCGCUUACAACGUCGUCAUGUUUGGAUCGCUUCUACUGGGGAUUGCCACCUUGCUGGGCGCGAUCUACGCCUUUCUGGUGUCCAACUUUGGCCACUGGCGGCGGCGCGGAGUCACGGAGCCCAGAGCCCUUCCGCUCUUCGGUUCCUUUCCCAACAUGAUUUGGCCACGCCAGCACUUCACCAUGGACAUGCGCGAUAUCUAUAUGCAUUACAGGAAUACCCAUAGCUAUGUGGGCUGCUAUCUGUUGCGUGCACCCAAGCUGCUCGUCCUGGAACCCCGCCUGAUCUACGAGAUCUAUGUGAGCGCGUUCAGUCACUUCGAGAACAACGAUGCCUCCCAGAUGGUGGACAUCGCCAAGGAUCGCUUGGUCGCCCUCAAUCCCUUCGUGCUCGAGGGCGAGGAGUGGCGCCACCAGCGCGCGGUCUUCUCCACCCUGCUGACCAAUGGUCGCAUCCGGACCACUCAUGCCAUCAUGCAGCGCGUCUGUCAGGAUCUCUGUCGGUUCAUUGCGAUAAAGUCGGCUGGCGGCAAGGAUCUGGACUGCAUUGAUCUGGGUCUCCGCUUCACGGGUGAAUCGCUGUUUGACUGCGUCCUGGGCAUCCAAGCGCGCACCUUCACCGACAAUCCACUGCCGGUUGUGCGGCAAAACCACGAGAUGUCCGCCGAGAAUCGAGGAUUGGCCAUUGCCGGCGCCGUCCGUGGCCUCUUCCCGAAUCUUCCGCGCUGGCUGCGUCCCAAGGUCUUUCCCCGUUCCCACGAUCUAUUCUACAGCCAGAUGAUUAGCGAAGCUCUGCGCCUGCGCCGUUCCAAGCACCAGGAUCGCAACGACUUCAUCAACCAUCUGCUCGAGAUGCAGAGGGAAUUGGAUCUCAGCGAGGAGGACAUGGCCUCGCAUGCCAUGACCUUCAUGUUCGACGGCCUGGACACCACCUCCAAUAGCAUUGCCCAUUGUCUUCUGCUGCUUGGUCGUAAUCCCGAUUGCCAGCGGCGUUUGUACGAGGAACUCCAGUUGGUCAAUCCCGAUGGUUAUCUGCCCGAUCUGGAUGCGCUGAUAGACCUGCCCUAUCUGAGUGCCUGCUUUAAUGAAAGCUUACGAAUCUAUCCGGCUGGCGGCUGGGCAUCAAAGACCUGCACAAAGGAGUACGAGCUCCGGGGUAGCCACCACUCGGAACCCCUCAGGCUGAGGCCCGGCGACAAUGUGAUGGUGCCCAUCUACGCCCUGCACAAUGAUCCGGAUCUGUAUCCGGAACCGGAUCUUUUCCGACCCGAAAGAUUCCUGGACGGCGGUCUGAAAAACUGCAAACAGCAGGGCAUCUUUUUGGGUUUCGGGAACGGGCCACGUCAGUGUGUCGGGAUGCGAUUGGGUCUGGCCAUGGCCAAGGCCGCACUGGCGGCCAUUGUCCAGCGAUUCGAGGUCCUGGUCAGUCCACGGACACUCAAUGGCACAGAGUUAGAUCCCCUGAUCUUUGUGGGCGUCCACAAGGGCGGCAUUUGGCUGCAGUUCGUCGCACGGGAAAAUGUGACUAAGAAAUAGAUGGAUCCAGUAGUAAGUUCGAGAAAGAAGUUGCAGCAGAAACACAAAAAAGGGUUAAGCUGUAGAAGGGGUUAAGUGCAGGAGAAUUUAAACAACUAUAAACUGAAACCUUUUAAGUGGACCAUCGCUUUUGUUAGGCUCAGGGUUUAGCUGCAUUCAGCUGGGAAUUAUGUCAUCGGGCGAUGUCAAAACACUGGAAUUAUAAUUCAUCAAAAGGGCGGAGGAAAUAAAUGCAUUCAUACACUGAGAGAAAGUGGUGUAACCCGAAUAAUUCAA